AUUAUCUCACCCCUAGACAAAGCAUUAGGUCGCAACUUCUUGAAACAAGCAAAGAAUAUUGAUAUAAAAAGCUGCUACAAAUCAGAAGUUGUUCCAAAAAAACACCUUCCAGCGCUCAGAAAUCUCCAAAACUUAGAAAAACUCCUGAAAAGGAUCCAGGUAAAUUUAAGUUGGGUUACAUUUGUUUCUUCUAGUGAAUUUCAAUGUAUCUAAAACAGUAGGUUUCUGACCAAUAAACUAUCAGGUAGAUUUAAUACUUUGACUGCGUACGAUUUUUAGCCAAUUCCUGCCUAAAGCAGCAGGUUUAAGUGAUUGUUUUUAAGUCAUGUGCAGUUUUUUUUAAUUGUACCACUGCUCUCAAGAACAGAGAAACAAGUUUUUUUAUUACUCAAUCGGCAUCUAGCGUUGGCCCAGCACAGUGCCAGGCCAUGUUUGGCAACGCCACAACCAAACUGCUAAGGAAAGCAAUUUUUCAUAAGGGUUAAAGAUUGUUCUCUGAUAAAUGUAUCUAGGAAUGUACUAUUUAUCCUAUUGUUACCGUAGUACAUGCAUAAGAAUUUCUUUUAUGGUCUUUUAAUUUGCAUACAUACACAUUGCUAAUUGAUCAGUGUCUUUUACAGAUGGCUGGGAAACAGUUGUUGGACGAUCAAGGCGGAGCAAUCCAUUGACACAAAGUUCCAGCAGUCUCAAAUUGAGGAACAGUGUCACAAAUUGUGAACCCAGUAACCGAUACUAUUUGCCAAGCCCUGCAACAUCCUUACCUGCACUGGCGCUAAGUAUGGAGAAAGAGUCUAAAGAUGUUGAAAAGAAUAACAAACAGCAGAAAAACAAAGAAAAUUGGGAAAUAGCCAAAAUGAAUCAAAGAAAUAAGCUGAAGAGUGUGAAAAACGCAGAGAUGGAAAAGGAUAGACCAAUUAUGAGCCAUCUUGGAGCAGCACGCCAAAGUGCUGUAAAAACCAAGCAAAAGGAUUUGAAAGUUCAAGAUGGAAAAAAGAAAGAUGGUGAUUUUGAAAAGAGGAAAGUCUUGAGCAAGGAAAAUGAAAAGAGUAAGGGGGGAAAGAGAAUAAUAGACCAUUCAAAGACGGAAUUAUUGGAAGAUGAAUUAUUGGACAAGGAAGAAAUUCGAAAAAGUAAAGAGCUUGAUGAAGAAGAGAAAAAUCUACAAAAGGAGAUCCAGGUUCUUGAAUCAACAGAAAUAGAGAUUGACACCGAAACGGAUGAAGUUGAAACUGACUGGGAAAGUAGCAGUGAACUUGCUAAAGACGAUGCAGAUCUUCUAACCGAUAAAGAUCUCUUGGAUGAAAGGUAUAGAUCCAUGUUAAUGGGCAUGCCGUGGGCAGAUCAGAUGGAAGCUUUAGAUAAACUGGAAACGCUAAUGGCUAUGGACACGAGCAGCACAGGAUUAAGUUGGGGUGAAAGAAUGAAAACUUUGGAGCAGCUUGAAGAAAUUGUAGCCCGCUCACCAGGCCGUGCACUGAGCUCCAUCAGAAAUUAUCCUCACCAUCAAGACGGCGGACAAUCCCUGAUGCAAUCAACCGUCAUCAGGCACGCCAAGCCAGAGCCCAGAAGAAGCGACAAGAGCUGCUUAAAAAAAAAUCUUCCAAACUGCGUUGGCUAUUGA
rnacentral:lncRNA from 1 species